GACGAACGCUGGCGGCGUGCUUAACACAUGCAAGUCGAACGGAAAGGCCCUGCUUUUGUGGGGUGCUCGAGUGGCGAACGGGUGAGUAACACGUGAGUAACCUGCCCUUGACUUUGGGAUAACUUCAGGAAACUGGGGCUAAUACCGGAUAGGAGCUCCUGCUGCAUGGUGGGGGUUGGAAAGUUUCGGCGGUUGGGGAUGGACUCGCGGCUUAUCAGCUUGUUGGUGGGGUAGUGGCUUACCAAGGCUUUGACGGGUAGCCGGCCUGGGAGGGUGCACGGCCACAUUGGGACUGAGAUACGGCCCAGACUCCUACGGGAGGCAGCAGUGGGGAAUAUUGCACAAUGGGCGGAAGCCUGAUGCAGCAACGCCGCGUGCGGGAUGACGGCCUUCGGGUUGUAAACCGCUUUCGCCUGUGACGAAGCGUGAGUGACGGUAAUGGGUAAAGAAGCACCGGCUAACUACGUG
rnacentral:rRNA from 1 species